rnacentral:misc_RNA from 1 species
GAUGAAGAACGUAGCGAAAUGCGAUAAGUAAUGUGAAUUGCAGAAUUCAGUGAAUCAUCGAAUCUUUGAACGCAUCUUGCGCUCCUUGGUAUUCUGAGGAGCAUGCCUGUUUGAGUGUCAUUAAAUUCUCAACUACACUGACUUUGAAUUGGUGUGGCUUGGAUUGGGGGGAAAAUUGUUGUGGGCUUUUUGUAUAGUCUGCUCCCCUGAAAUUGAUUAGCGGUACCUUUGUGGAACUGUCUACAGGUGUGAUAAUUAUCUACAUCUUAGACAUCUGCUGGAAUGCUGCUUUCUAAACCUUACUUGUAUUGACAAUCUUGACCUCAAAUCAGGUAGGACUACCCGCUGAACUUAAGCAUAUCAAUAAGCGGAGGA